UACGAGAGCCUCGAGCGUUAUCCGGAAUUAUUGGGCGUAAAGGGUGCGUAGGUUGUUCUGUUAGUCUUUUGUCAAAGCCCCGAGCUUAACUUGGGAUAUGCGGAAGAAACGGCAGAACUUGAAAGUGUGAGAGGCGUACGGAACUCAUGGUGUAGGGGUGAAAUCCGUUGAUAUCAUGGGGAACACCAAAUGCGAAGGCAGUACGCUGGCGCAUAUUUGACACUGAAGCACGAAAGCGUGGGUAGCGAAUGGG
rnacentral:rRNA from 1 species